GCCCGGCUGGCGCAAUGGUAGCGCGUCAGACUUCUAAUCUGAAGGCUGCGGGUUCGAGUCCCGCGUUGGGCU
rfam:Saitoella complicata NRRL Y-17804 DNA, contig: contig032, whole genome shotgun sequence.